rnacentral:rRNA from 1 species
GAUGAACGCUGGCGGCGUGCCUAAUACAUGCAAGUCGAGCGAACAGAUGAGGAGCUUGCUCCUCUGACGUUAGCGGCGGACGGGUGAGUAACACGUGGAUAACCUACCUAUAAGACUGGGAUAACUUCGGGAAACCGGAGCUAAUACCGGAUAAUAUAUUGAACCGCAUGGUUCAAUAGUGAAAGACGGUUUUGCUGUCACUUAUAGAUGGAUCCGCGCCGCAUUAGCUAGUUGGUAAGGUAACGGCUUACCAAGGCAACGAUGCGUAGCCGACCUGAGAGGGUGGUCGGCCACACUGGAACUGAGACACGGUCCAGACUCCUACGGGGGGCAGCAGUAGGGAAUCUUCCGCAAUGGGCGAAAGCCUGACGGAGCAACGCCGCGUGAGUGAUGAAGGUCUUCGGAUCGUAAAGCUCUGUUAUUAGGGAAGAACAAAUGUGUAAGUAACUAUGCACGUCUUGACGGUACCUAAUCAGAAAGCCACGGCUAACUACGUG